rnacentral:rRNA from 1 species
CACUCUGAGAUAAGCCUGGGAAACUGGGUCUAAUACCGGAUAUGACCAACUGUCGCAUGGUGGUUGGUGGAAAGCUUUUGCGGUGUGGGAUGGGCCCGCGGCCUAUCAGCUUGUUGGUGGGGUAAUGGCCUACCAAGGCGACGCCGGGUAGCCGACCUGAGAGGGUGAUCGGCCACACUGGGACUGAGACACGGCCCACACUCCUACGGGAGGCAGCAGUGGGGAAUAUUGCACAAUGGGCGCACGCCUGAUGCAGCGACGCCGCGUGAGGAAUGACGCCCUUCGGGUUGUAAACCUCUUUCACCAGGGACGAAGCGGAAGUGACGGUACCUGGAGAAGAAGCACCGGCCAACUACGUGCCAGCAGCCGCGGUAAUACGUAGGGUGCGAGCGUUGUCCGGAAUUACUGGGCGUAAAGAGCUCGUAGGCGGUUUGUCGCGUCGCCUGUGAAAUUCUGCAACUCAAUUGCAGCCGUGCAGGCAAUACGGGCAGACUUGAGUCCUACGGGGGAGACUGGAAUUCCUGGUGUAGCGGUGAAAUCCGCAGAUAUCAGGAGGAACACCGGUGGCGAAGCGGGCCUCUGGGUGUAACUGACGCUGAG